AGACUGUUUAACAAAAACAUAGCUUCUAGAAUUUAUUAGAAGUGUAAUCCUGCCCGGUGAAAGAAAUUUUUAACGGCCAUAACAUUGCUAAGGUAGCGUAAUCAGUUGUCCUUUUAUUGAGGACUAGUAUGAAAGGAAAAACGACGCUCAACUGUCUCUGUUAAUCUAUUAUAAAUUAAUUUUUAGGUGAAAAAGCCUAAAUUUUAUUAAAGGACGAGAAGACCCUAUAGAGUUUUAAUGCAAUGUUUAAAUUUUAUAAAAUAAUUGAAGCAAAGCGUUUUAGUUGGGGCAACAUAGGAACAUUUAAUUUCCUAUAUUUAAAUUUUAUAAUUUUAAAGAACACAAAUCCUUAAAAAGAAAAAGAAAAACUACCUUAGGGAUAACAGCGUAAUUUUUCUAAAGAGAUCUAAUCGAAAGAAAAGUUUGCGACCUCGAUGUUGGACUAAGGCAACAAAAUGGUGAAGAAACUAUUUAAAGAAGGCCUGUUCGGCCUAACAGCCUUACAUGAUUUGGUUCAUUCCGUAA
rnacentral:rRNA from 1 species